rnacentral:rRNA from 1 species
GGUUAAGCGACUAAGCGUACACGGUGGAUGCCCUGGCAGUCAGAGGCGAUGAAGGACGUGCUAAUCUGCGAAAAGCGUCGGUAAGGUGAUAUGAACCGUUAUAGCCGGCGAUGUCCGAAUGGGGAAACCCAGUGCAAUUCGUUGCACUAUCGUUAACUGAAUACAUAGGUUAACGAGGCGAACCGGGGGAACUGAAACAUCUAAGUACCCCGAGGAAAAGAAAUCAACCGAGAUUCCCCCAGUAGCGGCGAGCGAACGGGGAGCAGCCCAGAGUCUGAAUCAGCUUGUGUGUUAGUGGAACGGUCUGGAAAGUCCGACGGUACAGGGUGAUAGUCCCGUACACCAAAAUGCACAGGUUGUGAACUCGAAGAGUAGGGCGGGACACGUGGUAUCCUGUCUGAAUAUGGGGGGACCAUCCUCCAAGGCUAAAUACUCCUGACUGACCGAUAGUGAACCAGUACCGUGAGGGAAAGGCGAAAAGAACCCCGGCGAGGGGAGUGAAAAAGAACCUGAAACCGUGUACGUACAAGCAGUGGGAGCACCUUCGGGUGUGACUGCGUACCUUUUGUAUAAUGGGUCAGCGACUUAUAUUCUGUAGCAAGGUUAACCGUAUAGGGGAGCCGCAGGGAAACCGAGUCUUAACUGGGCGUUAAGUUGCAGGGUAUAGACCCGAAACCCGGUGAUCUAGCCAUGGGCAGGUUGAAGGUUGGGUAACACUAACUGGAGGACCGAACCGACUAAUGUUGAAAAAUUAGCGGAUGACUUGUGGCUGGGGGUGAAAGGCCAAUCAAACCGGGAGAUAGCUGGUUCUCCCCGAAAGCUAUUUAGGUAGCGCCUCGUGAAUUCAUCUUCGGGGGUAGAGCACUGUUUCGGCUAGGGGGUCAUCCCGACUUACCAACCCGAUGCAAACUACGAAUACCGAAGAAUGUUAUCACGGGAGACACACGGCGGGUGCUAACGUCCGUCGUGAAGAGGGAAACAACCCAGACCGCCAGCUAAGGUCCCAAAGUCAUGGUUAAGUGGGAAACGAUGUGGGAAGGCACAGACAGCCAGGAUGUUGGCUUAGAAGCAGCCAUCAUUUAAAGAAAGCGUAAUAGCUCACUGGUCGAGUCGGCCUGCGCGGAAGAUGUAACGGGGCUAAACCAUGCACCGAAGCUGCGGCAGCGACACUAUGUGUUGUUGGGUAGGGGAGCGUUCUGUAAGCCUGCGAAGGUGACCUGUGAGGGUUGCUGGAGGUAUCAGAAGUGCGAAUGCUGACAUAAGUAACGAUAAAGCGGGUGAAAAGCCCGCUCGCCGGAAGACCAAGGGUUCCUGUCCAACGUUAAUCGGGGCAGGGUGAGUCGACCCCUAAGGCGAGGCCGAAAGGCGUAGUCGAUGGGAAACAGGUUAAUAUUCCUGUACUUGGUGUUACUGCGAAGGGGGGACGGAGAAGGCUAUGUUAGCCGGGCGACGGUUGUCCCGGUUUAAGCAUGUAGGCUGGUUAUCCAGGCAAAUCCGGAUAAUCAAGGCUGAGGUGUGAUGACGAGGCACUACGGUGCUGAAGUAACAAAUGCCCUGCUUCCAGGAAAAGCCUCUAAGCAUCAGGUAACAUCAAAUCGUACCCCAAACCGACACAGGUGGUCAGGUAGAGAAUACCAAGGCGCUUGAGAGAACUCGGGUGAAGGAACUAGGCAAAAUGGUGCCGUAACUUCGGGAGAAGGCACGCUGGUGUGUAGGUGAAGUCCCUGCGGAUGGAGCUGAGACCAGUCGAAGAUACCAGCUGGCUGCAACUGUUUAUUAAAAACACAGCACUGUGCAAACACGAAAGUGGACGUAUACGGUGUGACGCCUGCCCGGUGCCGGAAGGUUAAUUGAUGGGGUUAUCCGUAAGGAGAAGCUCUUGAUCGAAGCCCCGGUAAACGGCGGCCGUAACUAUAACGGUCCUAAGGUAGCGAAAUUCCUUGUCGGGUAAGUUCCGACCUGCACGAAUGGCGUAAUGAUGGCCAGGCUGUCUCCACCCGAGACUCAGUGAAAUUGAACUCGCUGUGAAGAUGCAGUGUACCCGCGGCAAGACGGAAAGACCCCGUGAACCUUUACUAUAGCUUGACACUGAACAUUGAGCCUUGAUGUGUAGGAUAGGUGGGAGGCUUUGAAGCGUGGACGCCAGUCUGCGUGGAGCCAACCUUGAAAUACCACCCUUUAAUGUUUGAUGUUCUAACGUUGGCCCCUUACCGGGGUUGCGGACAGUGUCUGGUGGGUAGUUUGACUGGGGCGGUCUCCUCCCAAAGCGUAACGGAUGAGCACGAAGGUUAGCUAAUCCCUGGUCGGACAUCAGGAGGUUAGUGCAAUGGCAUAAGCUAGCUUGACUGCGAGCGUGACGGCGCGAGCAGGUGCGAAAGCAGGUCAUAGUGAUCCGGUGGUUCUGAAUGGAAGGGCCAUCGCUCAACGGAUAAAAAGGUACUCCGGGGAUAACAGGCUGAUACCGCCCAAGAGUUCAUAUCGACGGCGGUGUUUGGCACCUCGAUGUCGGCUCAUCACAUCCUGGGGCUGAAGUAGGUCCCAAGGGUAUGGCUGUUCGCCAUUUAAAGUGGUACGCGAGCUGGGUUUAGAACGUCGUGAGACAGUUCGGUCCCUAUCUGCCGUGGGCGCUGGAGAAUUGAGGGGGGCUGCUCCUAGUACGAGAGGACCGGAGUGGACGCAUCACUGGUGUUCGGGUUGUCAUGCCAAUGGCACUGCCCGGUAGCUAAAUGCGGAAGAGAUAAGUGCUGAAAGCAUCUAAGCACGAAACUUGCCCCGAGAUGAGUUCUCCCUGAGACUUUAAGUCUCCUGAAGGAACGUUGAAGACGACGACGUUGAUAGGCCGGGUGUGUAAGCGCAGCGAUGCGUUGAGCUAACCGGUACUAAUGAACCGUGAGGCUUAACCUU